rnacentral:lncRNA from 1 species
UUAAUGUACUGUCAGCCUUGGACUUUGUUGUGGUUGUAAGCGGGUGUCCCAGAGGAAGGGAACUGCUUGGCACGUGUUCUCUCUCCUGUCCUCCUUCUAACCCUGGCCACAAAGCAGCGAGGUCUGUCAGGUUUUUAUCCAGCUUGCAGGUAAAGGGUUACAGAUUCUAGGAAGUAUUAAAUGCAAACUUUAAAGGAUUUUAUUUUCAUCUGCAGUCACAUGACACCCUAAUACCCAAUGACACUAACUACAGUGUCUCAUUAAGAGGUCAUGCGAACUCCCAAGCUAAACAAGGCAUUCUUACAUAUUUAACAUUCAAAUGCAGAAGCCACGCUAAGCCAUGGAAGAUUGCAAUCAGAAAAAAGCUACACUUCCUGAUCAGCACAGAAGCUACAGGUUCUUUAAAGAGGAGACAGAUUGCUAGCAUUUUGGGCUGAAAUCUGGAGGUAAGGAACUGGAACACAAAUGUAACACCCAAUCUAAGAAUGGGAAAUUUUUAUAGGAGUGGAAAACCUCAGAUGCUGAACUUUCACCCCAGACUUCUGCAAGGUCUUUGCUAACAAAGAACUACACAAACAUAGACAGAGUUUAUUGAUGCCACACCACCUGCCCAGUGUUUGCCGCUGUCGUGGACACUGCCAAUAAAGAUCAAAGCUUCCCCUGCAUUAACGAGCUAAACAUAGGUGUUGCAUGUUCUGCAGAAAGCUGUAGACCUACGUUGACCUCUACUGAGUAAAGUUUGGGCCAGAUGAACUCAAGAGGUUCUUUCCAAUGAAGUAGCUUAUGAUUCUGCAUGACAGUUCAUAAAACAGAAAUUUAUUUUGUUGUGAUUCAUGGUCCAGGAAGCAGAAAACCUUGUAUGACAGAUACCACCAUGUGAAACAACUCGUGAUCAUUACUUGCCGGGAAGAGAUAGAACACAGCAGCCAGCAUGAUCUGCAAAAGCAGUAGAACAAAUGGAACAUCAAAAUCUCUCUUUGCACCAGAGAUCUAAAGAGGCUUCACUAAAAGAUAGCUACAGCUAAGACCUGUAUCUGGACACCAAUAGACUCAUGAUAAUGGACUACAAGAUCAAUUAAACAGACAGCACCGUCCUAAGCUGUCUUAGCUAAUGGAAAGGUGAUAAUUCUCCAG